rnacentral:ncRNA from 1 species
UGCGUUCGCCACGGGAGCCCGGUGCGCUGGGCUGAGAGGAGGGCGCGCGGCCCUCGACCGUCCGAACCUGAUCCGGAUCAUGCCGGCGCAGGGAGGCUGUCGACGACGCGC